GACGAACGCUGGCGGCGUGCUUAACACAUGCAAGUCGAACGGAAAGGCCCUGCUUUUGUGGGGUGCUCGAGUGGCGAACGGGUGAGUAACACGUGAGUAACCUGCCCUUGACUUUGGGAUAACUUCAGGAAACUGGGGCUAAUACCGGAUAGGAGCUCCUGCUGCAUGGUGGGGGUUGGAAAGUCUCGGCGGUUGGGGAUGGACUCGCGGCUUAUCAGCUUGUUGGUGGGGUAGUGGCUUACCAAGGCUUUGACGGGUAGCCGGCCUGAGAGGGUGACCGGCCACAUUGGGACUGCGAUACGGCCCAGUCUCCUACGGGAGGCAGCAGUGGGGAGUAUUGCACAAUGGGCGGAAGCCUGAUGCAGCAACGCCGCGUGCGUGAUGACGGCCUUCGGGUUGUAAACCGCUUUCGCCUGUGACGAAGCGUGAGUGACGGUAAUGGGUAAAGAAGCACCGGCUAACUACGUG
rnacentral:rRNA from 1 species